AUUGAACGCUGGCGGAAUGCUUUACACAUGCAAGUCGAGCGGCAGCGCGGCCUUCGGGCUGGCGGCGAGCGGCGAACGGGUGAGUAAUGCAUCGGAACAUGCCCAGUCGUGGGGGAUAACACUUCGAAAGAAGUGCUAAUACCGCAUACGUCCUGAGGGGGAAAGCGGGGGAUCGCAAGACCUCGCGCGAUUGGAGUGGCCGAUGUCAGAUUAGCUAGUUGGUGGGGUAAGGGCCUACCAAGGCGACGAUCUGUAGCUGGUCUGAGAGGAUGAUCAGCCACACUGGGACUGAGACACGGCCCAGACUCCUACGGGAGGCAGCAGUGGGGAAUUUUGGACAAUGGGGGCAACCCUGAUCCAGCCAUUCCGCGUGAGUGAAGAAGGCCUUCGGGUUGUAAAGCUCUUUCGGCAGGAACGAAACGGUGGGCUCUAACAUAGUCCGCUAAUGACGGUACCUGAAGAAGAAGCACCGGCUAACUACGUG
rnacentral:rRNA from 1 species